CCUACGGGAGACAGCAGUGAGGAAUAUUGGUCAAUGGGCGAGAGCCUGAACCAGCCAAGUCGCGUGAGGGAGUACUGCCCUAUGGGUUGUAAACCUCUUUUGUCGGGGAGCAAAAGCCGGACGUGUCCGGCUGUGAGAGUACCCGAAGAAAAAGCAUCGGCUAACUCCGUGCCAGCAGCCGCGGUAAUACGGAGGAUGCGAGCGUUAUCCGGAUUUAUUGGGGUAAAGGGGUGCGCAGGCGGAUUUUUAAGUCAGCGGUCAAAUCGUGGGGCUCAACCCCAUCCAGCCGUUGAAACUGGGGAUCUAGAGUGUGCGAGAGGUAUGCGGAAUGCGUGGUGUAGCGGUGAAAUGCAUAGAUAUCACGCAGAACCCCGAUUGCGAAGGCAGCAUACCGGUGCACAACUGACGCUCAGGCACGAAAGCGUGGGUAUCGAACAGGAUUAGAUACCCGAGUAGUC
rnacentral:rRNA from 1 species